rnacentral:tRNA from 1 species
CGGGACUGACGGGGCUCGAACCCGCAGCUUCCGCCUUGACAGGGCGGUGCUCUGACCAAUGAAACUACAAUCC